CCUACGGGAGGCAGCAGUGAGGAAUAUUGGUCAAUGGGCGCGAGCCUGAACCAGCCAAGUAGCGUGAAGGAUGAAUGCCCUACGGGUUGUAAACUUCUUUUAUAAAGGAAUAAAGUGAUGAAAGUGAGCCUUUUUGUAUGUACUUUAUGAAUAAGGAACGGCUAACUCCGCGCCAGCAGCCGCGGUAAUACGGAGGAUCCGAGCGUUAUCCGGAUUUAUUGGGUUUAAAGGGAGCGUAGAUGGGUUGUUAAGUCAGUUGUGAAAGUUUGCGGCUCAACCGUAAAAUUGCAAUUGAUACUGAUAGCCUUGAGUACAGUUGAGGUAAGCGGAAUUCGUGGUGUAGCGGUGAAAUGCUUAGAUAUCACGAAGAACUCCGAUUGCGAAGGCAGCCUACUAAACUGCCACUGACAUUGAUGCUCGAAAGUGUGGGUAUCAAACAGGAUUAGAUACCCCGGUAGUC
rnacentral:rRNA from 1 species